rnacentral:lncRNA from 1 species
GAUUGUUGUGCUUCUUAUUAUCAAGUCUCCGUGGUUUUGUCGAAUUAUAUCAUGUUUGCUAUCAUCGAUGUGGUUUUGAUGUGGUUUUGUCGGAUUGAAGAACGCCAAUUCUGAAUAUGAUUCUUUAUGUGAUGAUGGCGAUUUUUGAAUCUUUUGAUCAAAUUCCUUUAUCCUUUUCAGCUGGUGACGGGGUCUCUGAGAUUUUUCUUCUACUUUCCUUUCUAUUAUUUGAUUUAUCUGGUAUUGAUCACGAAAAUAAGAAUUGGACUAUGAUUUGUUUAUCUGCAGUGGUGUAACACGUCUCUAUACUUCUUCCUUUUAUUAAGAGCUUAGUUCGUUUUCUUGAAUUUUUGGGUUGUACAGGGAAGACACACAAUGGAUGUGAAAUGAAGAUUAUGUUUUGUUACCCUUAACUUUUUUAUGGGUUUAUUCGUGACUGAUCAUUUGAUUUCGUAGUCUAACUUUGUGUUUAUGUUCACUCCCCUUCAGCAAUUGGAGUUUCUGAGAUUUGAAACCCUAAAAAGUUUAAAACGGUUGCAGCUCAGGAUAUCCCAAUUCUCUCUAUCUAUUGUUUAAUUUCUCUCUACUUGAUCUCCAAGGAUUGAAUUGUGUUCGACGUUUGAAUUAUUUUCCCUUAAUGUCCUGCAACAUCUCAUGGAGUAUGUUAUGAGGCCCCAAGGAUUGAAUUGGUGUUUGAAUUAUUUUCGCUUAAUGUCCUGCAGAGUAUGUUAUGAGACAUAAGGGUUGAAUUGUGAUUUGUUUCCUGUUUGGAUGAUUUGCACAGUGUCCUGCAUCUUAUAGAAUAUGAAUGACUUGGUUUUCGCACGGUUCUCGCGAGUAUGUUAUGGCCACCAUUCUUCCUUGGUUUUUUAAGUCUUCAAUUUAUCUUAUCAUUCUAUACUUCGUCCUCGAUUACCAGUUAUACUUUCUUCAAUUAUUGUUCUUUACAGGGGUGUGGGGGUAGGACAGGGAUCAAGUUCCUAUAACUAGUAAAUUCAUUUACGUGAAUUUUGAGUAUAAUUCUCUAUUUGAGUAUGAUGAGUUUUAUACCUUAUUGCUUAAAUUUCUUUUCAGCUGGUGGCUGGUUUUUUGGCAUUUCUUUUGCCUAUAGAUGAUAUGGAAAGCACACCGACCAAGGGCUCGACAUAACCUUAAGUCUUUUUUGAGUUUCCCUUAUAUUUUUUUUUAUGGUAUUACAAAAGGAUUGAACUAUGAUUUGUUUAUCUGCAGUGGUGUUUGGAUUAGUUGGGUAAUGUCACAUAUUCAACUUAUAAAGUUUCUGUAAUUAGUAAAUUCAUUUAGGUGAAUUCUGAGUACAAUUUUCUAUUUGAAGAUGACGAAUUUUAAACCUUUUGCAUAAAUUUCUUUGCACCUUUUCAGUUGGUGGCUGGUUCUCUGGCAUUUCUUUUGCCUAUGGAUGAUAUGAAAAGCACAAUAACCAAGGGGCUCGUCAUAACCUAAGUCUUUUUUGAGUUUUCCUUCUUUUUUUCUUUUUUCCUGGUAUUGUUCACAGUACAUAAGGAUUAAACUAUGGUUUGUUUAUUUGCAGUGGUGUUUGGAUUAGAUGGGUAACAACGCAUAUUCAUCGUAUCAAGUUUCUAUAACUAGUAAAUUCAUUUACGUCAAUUUUGACUAUAAUUUUCUAUUUGAGUAUGACGAGGAAAAUUACUUCAAUUUCUUUUCAUUUGACCAAGGGCUCAACAUAACCUUAAAUCUUUUUUGAGUUUCCCUUAUAUUUUUUUUAUGGUAUUACAUAAGGAUUGAACUAUGAUUUGUUUAUCUGCAGUGGUGUUUAGAUUAGUUGGGUAACGUGCAGAUUCAUUUUAUCAAGUUUCUAUAACUAGUAAAUUCAUUUACGUGAAUUUUGAGUAUAAUUAUCUAUUUGAGUAUGAUGAGUUUUAAACCUGUUGCGUAAAUUUCUUUUCAGCUGGUAGCUGGUUUUUUGGCAUUUCUGUUGCUUAUGGAUGAUAUGAAAAGCACAACAACCAAGGGCUAGACAUAACCUUAAGUCUUUUUUGAGUUUCCCUUCUAUUAUUUUUUUAUGGUUCUACAUAAGGAUUGAACUAUGAUUUGUUUAUCUGCAGUGGUGUUUUGGAUUAGUUGGGUAAAUUUCUUUGCUCCUUUUCAGCUGGAGUUCUCUGGCAUUUCUUUCUCCUAUGGAUGAUAUGAAAAGCAGAAGGACCAAGGGCCUCGACAUAACCUAUUUUUCUGCUACGGACUAUGAUUUGUUUAUCUGCAGUGGUGUAACACGUUUCUAUACUUCUUCCUUUUAUUAAGAGCUUAGUUCGUUUUCUUGAUUUUUUUGCUGUAUAGGUAGUUCGUUUUCUUGAAUUUUUGGGCUAUACAGGGAAGGCACGGAAUGGAUGUGAAAUGAAGUAUUAUGUUUUGUUACCUUUAAGUCUUUUUUGAGUUUCCCUUCUAUUAUUUUUUUAUGGUUUUACAUAAGGAUUGAACUAUGAUUUGUUUAUCUGCAGUGGUGUUUUGGAUUAGUUGGGUAACGUUGCAUAUUCUUCUUAUCAAGUUUCUAUAAUUAGUAAAUUCAUUUAGGUCUAUAUGAGGAUGACGAGUUUUGAACCUUCUGCGUAAAUUUCUUUGCACCUUUUCAGCUGGAGUUCUCUGGCAUUUAUUUCUCCUAUGGAUGAUAUGAAAAGCAGAAGGAUCAAGGGGCUCGACAUAACCUAAGUCUUUUUUGAGUUUUAUUUCUUCUUUUUUUUCCUGGUAUUUAUGACAGUACAUAAGGAUUGAACUAUGAUUUGUUUAUCUGCAGUGGUGUUUGGAUUAGUUGGAUAACGACGCAUAUUCAUCUUACAAGUUUCUAUAACUAGUAAAUUCAUUUACGUGAAUUUUGAGUAUAAUUCUCUAUUUGAGUGUGACGAGUUUUAAACCUUUUGCCUAUCUGGUAUUGAUCACGAAAAUAAGGAUUGGACUAUGAUUUGUUUAUCUGCAGUGGUGUAACACGUCUCUAUACUUCUUCCUUUUAUUAAGAGCUUAGUUCGUUUUCUUGAAUUUUUGGGUUGUACAGGGAAGACACACAAUGGAUGUGAAAUGAAGAUUAUGUUUUGUUACCCUUAACUUUUUUAUGGGUUUAUUCGUGACUGAUCAUUUGAUUUCGUAGUCUAACUUUGUGUUUAUGUUCACUCCCCUUCAGCAAUUGGAGUUUCUGAGAUUUGAAACCCUAAAAAGUUUAAAACGGUUGCAGCUCAGGAUAUCCCAAUUCUCUCUAUCUAUUGUUUAAUUUCUCUCUACUUGAUCUCCAAGGAUUGAAUUGUGCUCGACUAUUUUACCUUAAAGUCCUGCAGCAUCUCAUGGAGUGUGUUAUGAGGCCCUAAGGGUUGAAUUGGUGUUUGAAUUAUUUUCGCCUAAUGUCCUGCAGAGUAUGUUAUGAGAUUUAAGGGUUGAAUUGUGAUUUGUUUCCUGUUUGGAUGAUUUGCAUAGUGUCCUGCAUCCUAUGGAAUAUGUAUGGUUUUCGCACGGUCAUCGCGAGUAUGUUAUGGCCACCAUCUUCCUUGGUUAUUUAAGUCUUCAAUUUAUCUUAUCGUUCUAUAGUUCAUCCUUGAUUACCAGUUAUACUUUGUUGAAUUAUUGUUCUUCACAGGGAUGUGUGGGGGUAGGACAGGGAUGUGUGGGUAGGACUUUCCUCGUGGUUGGUUGAAAAUGAUGGAUGAGUCAUGCUUGACGGUAUGAAAAACACAAUGACAAAGGGCUCGACAUAACCUAAGUCUUUUUUGAGUUUUCCUUAUAUUUUUUCUUUUUCCUGUUAUUGAUCACAGUACAUAAGGAUAUGAUUUGUUUAUCUGCAGUGGUGUUUGGAUUGGUUACGAUGCAUAUUCAUCUUACAAGUGGUGGCUGGUUUUUUGGCAUUUCUUUUACCUAUGGAUUAUAUGAAAAGCACAACGACCAAGCAUUUCUAUUAUUUUUAUGGUAUUACAUAAGGAUUGAACUAUGAUUUGUUUAUAUGCAGUGGUGUUUGGAUUAGUUGUGUAACGUCUAUGUUCAUCGAAUCAAGUUUCUGUAAUUAGUAAAUUCAUUUAGGUGAAUUCUGAGUAUAAUUCUCUAUUUGAGGAUGACGAGUUUUAUCCUUUUGCAUAAAUUUCUUCUCACCUUUUCAGUUGGUGGCUGGUUCUCUGGCAUUUCUUUUGGCUAUGGAUGAUAUGAAAAGCACAACGACCAAGGGGCUCGACAUAACCUUCAAGUCUUUUUUGAGUUUUCCUUCUAUUUUUCUUUAUCCCGGUAUUGAUCACAAUACAUAAGGAUAUGAUUUGUUUAUCUGCAGUGGUGCUUGGAUUAGUUGGGUAACGUAGCAUAUUCAUCUUAUCAAAUUUCUAUAAUUAGUAAAUUCAUUUAGGUGAAUUCUGAGUAUAAUUCUCUAUUUGAGGAUGAAGAGUUUUGAACCUUUCGCAUAAAUUUUUUUUCACCUUUUCAGCUGGUGGCUGGUUCUCUGGCUUUUUUUUUGCCUAUGGUGAUAUGAAGAGAACAACGACCAAGGGCUCAACAUAACCUAAGUCUUUUUUUAGUUUUGCUUCUAUUAUUUAUAUUUUCUGGUAUUGAUCACCUACCACAAGGAUUGUAAUAUGUUUUUUUUUAUCUGCAGUGGUGUUUGUGUAACGUCGCAUAUUCAUCUUAUCAACUUUCUAUACUUCCUCCCUCUUAUUAGCGAUUAUCUUUUCCUUCAAUUUUUGGACUGUACAGGGUUUAUCGUUUCCUUCAGUUAAAUUCGGUUUUCGUGUUCAUUCCUUUUCAGCAAGUCCCGAGUCUGAGAUUUCUUUUGGCGGUUGAGGAACUAGAGUUUAGAAUGGUUGCACAUCAGGAUAUCCUAAUUUCUCAAUGAGUGUAUCCUCUAUUAUUUUAUUUAAUCUCAGCAGCGGUGUUUAGAUGAUUUUUGCUUAUUGUACUUCAUCUCAUGAGUGUGUUAGGAGGGCGACAGUGUCUCCCUUAAUUUUUUGAUUUAUCUAAUCAUCCGUUAUAGAUUUGUUGUAUUAUUGUUCUUUAGGGAUGUGUGGGCUUAUAGUUUUGUUGAAUUAUUGUUCUUUACAGGGAUGUGUUGGGUAGGACGUGGAAACCAUGUCGGGAUAUUUCUUGAACUGUGAAUCAUUCGUUUUUUUUCCUACUCUUACACUAGUUUUUUCUAUUGCAUUAGUUUGUAUUUGGCCAACCUUGUUGGUUCGAUUUUUAUUUUUUCUUCUUAGGCAUAACCAAAUAAAUAUUGGAGGGCUAAUGAAUGUCCUAUUUUAACAUAUGAUCACGACAAAUGGUCUCUUGGCAGCUUGAUUUUAUGAUCCGUGUCUCUAUGCACUGUGACCUUAGGCACUUUGGUGGUCUCAGGCCUAGAUAAAUUGAAAAGAAGUAUCUUGGAGUCAUUCCCUUCAUUUUAGUAGUGGUAAUUAGCAAGAGCUCAGGACUAUUUGGCUCCAAUUUUUUUAUUACAAAACUUUAUUUUGUCUUAGUUUUCUUUUUUUGACAAAUGAAUUUUCGGAAACAGUGAAUGGAGGUCCAGUGAAACUUUAGGUUUUAUUAUCUUUGCAUUCAUUAUUAUUUUCUUUGCGGUUAUUCUUUUGGCUAACCUUGUGGCUAAACAUGUAGAGUGGCAGUUCUUGUAAACAGGCACUAUAUGAGUAUGAUAGGCUUUGACAUUUGUUUUGUUGUGCCUUCGAUUAUCUUCUUCUACUUGGGUUGCAGUGACUUACUAUGAGCGGUUCCCAUGGUUUUCAAUUUUUGAAUUUACCUUAACUUUUCUUUACUCUGUCAUGUCAUGCUUUUAAGAAAAUUAGUUUUCUCAAAUCCCCAUGCUUCUGGUUGAGCUUUUACAGGAAAACUAUAGAUAUAUGGGGCAGGUUUCGGAAAUAAUUAUUGGACUUUACAGGGAAUUCAUGGGCUACCCAAAAUGAGGUGUGAAUUAUGUGAUAUGUGAAGCUCAAUGUUUUUAUUAACGGUACAUUGUAGUAUCUGAAUUAAUUUUUAACUGGCUCAACUUGUUGGUUUGAUUAUAAUCUUGGUUGUAUUUUGAUGGUGUAUGGUUCAUAAGUGGCAUUGUGAGCAUGGGACAAGUGCGGUUGGACUUUAUUUUUUGAUUUGAUAGUUUGCUUCUUGGUUUGAAAAGUUUAGGAUUUAGGGUUUAUUUGACGCCUUUUGGAUAAUCCUCUGAUAUAGGUCUUUGGCUCUUUAUUAGUUUUCCAAACCUUUGAUUCAUUAUUCUUGAUGAGUAAGCAUAUGGGUUGAGUUGUUGAGGUAUGAAUUUGUUUGAAAUUGUUUCAUGUCCCUGGAGUCUUAUUUUGACUGACAGCAAUGUCUCUUACUAUGAAUGACAGUAAUCUCUGAGCCUAUUAUGUGUAUGGAAAUUUUUGAAGUCAGUAUAAUAAUAUCUCACAACUUUGGUCACAUUUCUAUUUUACAUAUAAAUUAUUAACAAAGGGAGGAGAUAAAACAAGUUGUUAUGUAGUAGUAGAAUCUAUUUCUCUUUGAAAUUAUUGUUAAGGACCUACGAGUCAAGUUUUUAUAUUUAAUUUUUUUCCUAUACCAGUCAAUGAUAUAACUCAGCCGUGAAUCUUGAUCAUUCCUUUCUAUAUAUAUACCCAAUAUCUGUUUUGUUGGUAUUGCUUCAGUUAUUGUUGUGAUUCUUUACAAGGUUUUGUGGAAUUACAUGAUGUUUGUGUCGUGGGAUAGAAGAAUUAUUAAGAAUUAUUAGUAAACCGCUUCAUGAAAUUUGAUAUUAGUUUUUUUUUUUCCUUUUUAAAAUGCAGAGGUUUCAAUAUUCAUCAAAUUAAAUGCAUUAGUCAAAUGUUAAAUGCAAUAGUCACAUGGUUUUUAUAAUAAAAUUUAAAUAUAAUAAUAAUAUUAUAUGUAUAUAUAUAUUAUUUUUUAUUAUUG